GGACUGUAGCUCAGUGGUAGAGCGCUUGCCUAGCAUGCGUGAGGCACUGGGUUCGAUCCCCAGCACCA
rnacentral:tRNA from 1 species